UUAGAGUUUGAUCCUGGCUCAGGAUGAAUGCUAGCGGCAGGCUUAACACAUGCAAGUCGAGGGGCAGCAGGGAGCGGCAACGCUCCGCUGGCGACCGGCGCACGGGUGCGUAACGCGUAUGCAACCUACCUUCAACCGGGGGAUAACUCGGGGAAACCCGAACUAAUACCCCAUAUUCCCGUCCCCCCGCAUGAGGGGGCGGGGAAAGAACCUUGGUUUUAGAUGGGCAUGCGUGGCAUUAGGUAGUUGGCGGGGCAACGGCCCACCAAGCCUACGAUGCCUAGGGGAGCUGAGAGGCUUACCCCCCACACUGGUACUGAGACACGGACCAGACUCCUACGGGAGGCAGCAGUGAGGAAUAUUGGUCAAUGGGCGGAAGCCUGAACCAGCCAUGCCGCGUGGAGGAUGGGGGCCCUAUGGGUCGUAAACUCCUUUUGCCGCAGAGUAAUAAGGGUCCUGCGGGGCCCGAUGAGAGUAUGCGGCGAAUAAGCAUCGGCUAACUCCGUGCCAGCAGCCGCGGUAAUACGGAGGAUGCGAGCGUUAUCCGGAUUUAUUGGGUUUAAAGGGUGCGUAGGCGGGCCUUUAAGUCAGCGGUGAAAUACCCCGGCCCAACCGGGGGGCUGCCGUUGAUACUGUGGGCCUGGAGUCCGAACGGCGCCGGCGGAAUAUGCAAUGUAGCGGUGAAAUGCUUAGAUAUUGCAUAGAACACCGAUCGCGAAGGCAGCUGGCGAGGACGGCACUGACGCUGAGGCACGAAGGUGCGGGGAUCAAACAGGAUUAGAUACCCUGGUAGUCCGCACAGUAAACGAUGAUGACUUGUUGUCGGCGAUAGACGGUCGGCGACAAAGCGAAAGCGAUAAGUCAUCCACCUGGGGAGUACGAUCGCAAGGUUGAAACUCAAAGGAAUUGACGGGGGCCCGCACAAGCGGAGGAGCAUGUGGUUUAAUUCGAUGAUACGCGAGGAACCUUACCCGGGCUUGAAAUCAGACAGACUCAGAGAGAGACCUCUGUUCCAGCAAUGGCUGUCUGGUAGGUGCUGCAUGGUUGUCGUCAGCUCGUGCCGUGAGGUGUCAGGUUAAGUCCUAUAACGAGCGCAACCCCUACGUCCAGUUGCCAGCGGGUCGAGCCGGGGACUCUGGACGGACUGCCGGCGCAAGCCGAGAGGAAGGCGGGGAUGACGUCAAAUCAGCACGGCCCUUACGUCUGGGGCGACACACGUGCUACAAUGGCCGGUACAGAGGGCAGCCACGCCGCGAGGCGGAGCGAAUCUCGAAAGCCGGUCUCAGUUCGGAUCGGAGUCUGCAACCCGACUCCGUGAAGUUGGAUUCGCUAGUAAUCGCGCAUCAGCCAUGGCGCGGUGAAUACGUUCCCGGGCCUUGCACUCACCGCCCGUCA
rnacentral:rRNA from 1 species